ACUUGAUUAGUAAAUUUGACAUCGUUAGAGCUUCGGACAUACCUAGUAAGCGGACGAUGCUUAUGAAGUAGACAACAAUAAUGACAUUUCAUAAAUUAAAUGGACUGGGAAGGGGUGUCUGUUAAUUUAUCCAAGUAACCAUUAAAGUGGUGGUGUUUUGGUCAUAACUCCCCACCUUGAUAAGACUGCAAAAGAAAAAAAAAUCUGCUGACACAGUGUUUACAUAUUUUGCAUUAUUUUUCUGAUUUGUUUACAACAGUAGAUUCAACCUGAUGGAGGUGUGUACUCAUUGAAUACAUGAUCUCUAUAUGAAUAUUUCAUAUUUACUGAAAGUAAUGAAGCAAUAAUUUGACAAAUACAAGCAAGCAGAUAUUGUUUAUUGAUUAUUAAAAUGUGGAAUAUUUUUCUGAUGUCCUUCACAAAUGAGACAAACCCCUCAGGAAUAAAAGAAUGCUUCACUGUCUGCUUUAUUCAUGUCAACAGAAUAUGACUGAAAUUGUAAAGGUCUUUUCAUCAUUAUUAUUGUGAUGUCUUGCACUAAUCAGUGUUUGUUUUGUAUUAUAUUUCAGGUAGUGGUAUGAAUUGAGAUGAUUUAUUUAGUUACCUUCAACUGGUCAGUGGUCAACAAGAGAGUAUUAUGGUGUGUCUUGAAGCAUUGAAUGCCCCAAAACAACCAGUAUGAUAAGAAGGCCAGAGUAUACAGCUUCCCAAAAUGUUGAAAGACUAAUCUGUUUUCUAAGGACUUGUGUACCAUUUAGAUUGAAAUUAGCCAUGGACAAUGAAUUUGGAGGUGCAUACUAGUGCAUCAGAAAUAAUAGACUUGGAAUACAUAAUUUACAUAAUAUACAAGUAACAUUUACUGAAAAGUGACAAAUGUUUAUGUUAAUAAAGUGCAAUAUCCAUUUUUGUAACAUUUACAUGGGGGUAAUAGUUACAGUGUUGAAAGAGACUGCCAGUGUUACAUUUCAAUCUAAGUUACAGUGUGGAUGCUAAUUCUAAAUUCUUGAUAGUCAAGUGUUUUUAAUAACUUAUAGAUACUAAUUAUAUAUCAAACUGUUUAAUUUAUCACAUUCCUACAUCAUUAUUUUACAUAAAAUGUUUGUGGUUAUAUAAUAUAUGUUUGUAUGGUAAUAAAUUUUGUUUCUGUGUAAAUAUCUUGGUUUUUGAAAAAUGAAAAUGAAACAUUCAGUGACCAUCUUCUGUCAGCAAGUUAUUAUAUGAGAAAAAAGGUGAUAUAUACAGUCUAGAGUCUACUAGUAAGCUGCAUAAUUAUGCUUGGAACUAGCUCCAUAUUUCCUUUCUUUUGAAGUCAUAAACUUUACUUCAUAUAAAAUAGCCAAGUAUCACAAUUGUAUGAAUACACAACUGAAAAAACACUGCAUUCAGUUUCUAAGGUAAUAGAACUUUAGCAUUUGGUUAUUACACAUAUUUGGCUUUCAAUAAUUGGAAAGGUAAUAAAAGGAAUUUAUGAUUAUACACAAAAUAUGGAGAAGACUGAAAGCAGUAAAUGAUCAUUCCAAUAAUAGCAGAAUACUUUAGCUUAUGAUUGUCAAAAUUCAUUGUAGAUUAGUAGAUGAUCUCUUUCUUUAAGGUACCAGUAGGUUAAAUGUCAGUAUCACAGUGACCCUAAGACUGAAAUAUUUUAUUAUCGAAAGCUGAAUGAUACUUUUGCCCAUGGUCACCAGGCUUUAAAUCAUAACAGAUGAAUAAU